GAGGAGCGUUAACGGCUCCGGUACCGGCUGUCAGCAGGACGGAGACAUGGCGGCACACAGUCCUGCAGAUCACUGCGAGACUAAGUCCUGCUUUUAUAUACUGAAAAUGCUUUCGAUCAAAUAAUGUUGGACGCCACCUGGAAUCACAGGUUUGUUUUUAUGUGUCCUUUACGCGGAGACGCUGCUGGUUCGGUGCGUAAAGCUGUGACUUUCUGUGGAUGAGGAAGGCUGCAAAGUUUCCAUGCAGAACUCCAAGGACGACUGUUUCAGAGGGAUGAAGCGCCUCCACCCAGAUUAAAGCCCGGCUGAUGUCCUCCAUGUCCUGCUGAUGUCCUCCAUGUCCUGCUGCUGUCCUCACCCUCACCAGGCUGUCUCAGAUGGAUCAGCUCCAUGAUGCUGUAGGAAAGACCAAAGUAGCCUAACUGCAGCAGGUACGAUCAGCGUCGGACAAACAGCACAGCAGCCAAAGAAGUGCAGCAUUACAACUGCACAUUAAACUGGAUUUACUGUGUACUGUAGUGUUUAGUGGAAGAUUGGUUCGUACUGUAUAAAGCUGAAGCAGGCUUCUUCAAGUUUAUAUUGUGGGUUUCCAUUAUUAUCAUGUAUCCUUGAUAUGAAUCAUUUACCUCUACUGUAUGUUUUCCAGCAAAAUAAUCCAAUGGGACCAAAUACAAAAACAAAGUAUUAGCUGUCUCUAUGUGUCAUUGUGUUUGACUCCUGAGUUGCUCAGCUUCUACAGCAGGACUGGAAACUGAUAAAGCAAAUAAAACAUUCUGUUUCUGA